CAAAAUGGUAUUCAAUUUUAUUACCAGCUGUUAUAAUGAAAUUAUAAUUGAACUAUGUGGCACAGAGGCAAUUACAUAAUAUUUGUAAUCUUUUGGCUCAAUUAGAUCAAGCACGAGCUGAGCCUUCCAUGGGUGGCGCGCCUGGAUCACUUGGAAAAUAGAGCGUGGAUUGAAGAGAAUGAAAUGAUUGCUUUGUGGCCUGGAAAGACCUCUUUUCAUAGGUUAUCAAGCGCUAAAAAUGAAAAGUUCGUGCAACUUGCUGUGGCAGAUUAUAAGUAUAGGCAGUCAAUUCACAAGAAAGAAAUGGCUGAAUUGAAAAGUUGGUGCCUUAAAAUUAGUGAUAUGGGAUUUGGUCGAGAGAAAACUAUGUAUUGCUACUUUGCCAUAUCUGCCAGCGUUUCCCUGCCUUGACUCCGAUAUUCGAACGGUGGUAGCAAAAAUUGCCAUAUUGAUCACAGUUGCUGAUGACUUUUUUGACAUGGAAGGUUCUCUAGAAGAGCUCAACAUCCUCACUGAUGCAGUUAGAAGAUGGGAUGCUAGAAGAUUAAGAGGUCACAGUAAGGCUCCGA